AGAGUUUGAUCCUGGCUCAGGAUGAACGCUAGCGGCAGGCUUAACACAUGCAAGUCGAGGGGUAACAGAGGUAGCUUGCUACUUGCUGACGACCGGCGCACGGGUGAGUAACGCGUAUACAAUUUACCUUAUACAGGGGGAUAGCCUUUAGAAAUGAAGAUUAAUACCCCAUAGUUUGUUAGAAUCUCCUGAUUUUAACAAUAAAGAUUUAUCGGUAUAAGAUGAGUAUGCGUUCUAUUAGCUAGAUGGUAAGGUAACGGCUUACCAUGGCAACGAUAGAUAGGGGCCCUGAGAGGGGGAUCCCCCACACUGGUACUGAGACACGGACCAGACUCCUACGGGAGGCAGCAGUGAGGAAUAUUGGGCAAUGGAGGCAACUCUGACCCAGCCAUGCCGCGUGAAGGAAGAAGGCCCUAUGGGUUGUAAACUUCUUUUAUAGAGGAAGAAACCCUCCCACAUGUGGGAGGCUGACGGUACUCUACGAAUAAGCACCGGCUAACUCCGUGCCAGCAGCCGCGGUAAUAAGGGCGAAUUC
rnacentral:rRNA from 1 species